rnacentral:rRNA from 1 species
GAUGAACGCUGGCGGCGCGCCUAACACAUGCAAGUCGAACGAUUAAAGCACCUUCGGGUGUGUAUAAAGUGGCGAACGGCUGAGUAACACGUGGGCAACCUGCCCCUUUCAUUGGGAUAGCCACGGGAAACCGUGGAUAAUACCGAAUACUUCGAGACUUCCGCAUGGAAGACUCGAGAAAGCUCCGGCGGAGAGGGAUGGGCCCGCGGCCUGUUAGCUUGUUGGUGGGGUAACGGCCUACCAAGGCAAUGAUGGGUAGCUGGGUUGAGAGACCGACCAGCCAGAUUGGGACUGAGACACGGCCCAGACUCCUACGGGAGGCAGCAGUGGGGAAUCUUGCACGAUGGGCGAGAGCCUGAUGCAGCGACGCCGCGUGCGGGAUGAAGGCCUUCGGGUUGUAAACCGCUUUCAGCAGGGACGAGGCGAAAGUGACGGUACCUGCAGAAGAAGCCCCGGCUAACUACGUG